rnacentral:rRNA from 1 species
GAUGAACGCUGGCGGCGUGCCUAAUACAUGCAAGUCGAGCGAACGGACGAGAAGCUUGCUUCUCUGAUGUUAUCGGCGGACGGGUGAGUAACACGUGGAUAACCUACCUAUAAGACUGGGAUAACUUCGGGAAACCGGAGCUAAUACCGGAUAAUAUUUUGAACCUCAUUGUUCAAAAGUGAAAGACGUUCUUGCUGUCACUUAUAGAUGGAUCCGCGCUGCAUUAGCUAGUUGGUAAGGUAACGGCUUACCAAGGCAACGAUGCAUAGCCGACCUGAGAGGGUGAUCGGCCACACUGGAACUGAGAAACGGUCCAGACUCCGACGGGAGGAAGCAGUAGGGAAUCUUCCGCAAUGGGCGAAAGCCUGACGGAGCAACGCCGCGUGAGUGAUGAAGGUCUUCGGAUCGUAAAACUAUGUUAGUAGGGAAGAACAUAUGUGUAAGUAACUGUGAACAUCUUGACGGUACCUAAUCAGAAAGCCACGGCUAACUACGUG